UACGUAGGGGGCAAGCGUUGUCUGGAUUUAUUGGCGUAAAGAGCGUGUAGGCGGCCAUGUAGGUCCGUUGUGAAACUCGAGGCUACAACCUCGAGACGCCGAUGGAAACCAUGUGGCUAGAGUCCGGAAGAGGCGAGUGGAAUUCCCGGUGUGAGCGGUGAAAUGCGCAGAUAUCGGGAGGAACACCUAUGGCGAAGGCAGCUCGCUGGGACGUUACUGACGCUGAGACGCGAAAGCGUGGGGAGCAAACAGG
rnacentral:rRNA from 1 species